rnacentral:rRNA from 1 species
AGGAUGAAUGCUGGCGGCGCGCCUAACACAUGCAAGUCGAGCGGAAAGGCCCUUCGGGGUACUCGAGCGGCGGACGGCUGAGUAACGCGUGGGAACAUGCCCCAAAGUGAGGAAUAACUGCCCGAAAGGGUAGCUAAUGCCGCAUAUGAUCUUCGGAUUAAAGGAUUUAUCCGCUUUGGGAGUGGCCCGCGUACGAUUAGGUAGUUGGUGAGGUAAAGGCUCACCAAUCCCACGAUCGUUAACUGGUCUGAGAGGAUGAUCAGUCAGACUGGAACUGAGACACGGUCCAGACUCCUACGGGAGGCAGCAGUGAGGAAUCUUCCACAAUGGGCGAAAGCCUGAUGGAGCGACGCCGCGUGCAGGAUGAAGGCCUUCGGGUUGUAAACUGCUUUUAUAAGUGAAGAAUAUGACGGUAACUUAUGAAUAAGCACCGGCUAACUACGUGCCAGCAGCCGC